GCCGGCUUAGCUCAGUGGUAGAGCAACAGUUUUGUAAACUGUAGGUCGUCGGUUCGAAUCCGACAGCCGGCUCCA
rnacentral:tRNA from 1 species